UGGGGAAUAUUGGACAAUGGGCGCAAGCCUGAUCCAGCAAUGCCGCGUGGAUGAAGAAGGUUUUCGGAUUGUAAAGUCCUUUUGGCGGGGACGAUGAUGACGGUACCCGCAGAAUAAGCUCCGGCUAACUUCGUGCCAGCAGCCGCGGUAAUACGAAGGGGGCUAGCGUUGCUCGGAAUGACUGGGCGUAAAGGGCGCGUAGGCGGCUUGUACAGUCAGGCGUGAAAUUCCUGGGCUCAACCUGGGGACUGCGUCUGAUACGUGCAGGCUUGAGUAUGAAAGAGGGUCGUGGAAUUUCCAGUGUAGAGGUGAAAUUCGUAGAUAUUGGAAAGAACACCGGUGGCGAAGGCGGCGACCUGGUUCAUUACUGACGCUGAGGCGCGAAAGCGUGGGGAGCAAACA
rnacentral:rRNA from 1 species